rnacentral:rRNA from 1 species
AGAGCGAACGCUGGCGGCAUGCUUAACACAUGCAAGUCGCACGGGCAGCAAUGUCAGUGGCGGACGGGUGAGUAACGCGUAGGUAUCUAUCCACGGGUGGGGGAUAACGCCGGGAAACUGGUGCUAAUACCGCAUGACACCUGAGGGUCAAAGGCGCAAGUCGCCUGUGGAGGAGCCUUCGUCCGAUUAGCUAGUUGGUGGGGUAAAGGCCUACCAAGGCGACGAUCGGUAGCUGGUCUGAGAGGAUGAUCAGCCACAUUGGGACUGAGACACGGCCCAAACUCCUACGGGAGGCAGCAGUGGGGAAUAUUGGACAAUGGGCGAAAGCCUGAUCCAGCAAUGCCGCGUGGAUGAAGAAGGUUUUCGGAUUGUAAAGUCCUUUCGGCGGGGACGAUGAUGACGGUACCGCAGAGAGCCCGGCUAACUUCGCGCCAGCAGCCGC